UUACAUCGUCCAUUUUUACUUCAGUCCCUAUGUCACGCUACAUGUUGUUCUCAUUUAGGGUUUAGGGUUUUCAACAAAUGGAACCGUGGUUAAAUGAACUAUCAUAGUUUCAGAGUGGAUACAAUUGCUCCUUCCGUUGGCUGUUGAGAAAGGAGUGUGCACUAUUACUAACAUGGGUGCAAGUAAGCAACCUUAAUCGGUUUCGCCUAUGUAAUUUGUUCGCUUUAUUAAAUGCGAUUUUGUUUUUCUUGGAAAAAAAAUGCAUUGGCUGCUCAAGAAAAGGAUUUGGAAAUUGCAAGCGGAUUGGGUAUUAAGAUUACUGUAGGUGUAGCGCACCAGUUUGAUAGUGCCAAAGCAGGUCUUUGUUCUAAUUUGAGAAAUCUAAACGAUGGUAUAAGCAUGUAUCUAGGGGCAGCUCCUAUUGAAGUACAAUCCUGAUGUUGUCUUCACUUCUUGGGUUGCUGAUGCUUCCUUAUUUCUAGCUCCAAUGGUCUAUGAACUCGGGUGGAACUGGGAUGACUUCUCGCUGUUAGCCCAGGGCUCUUUGGCUGGACACCUGCUAGAAUGCGGCUGUCAACUCACUGGAGGAUAUUUUAUGCAUCCAGGUCAAUGUGGAUCACAUGAAGCUCCAAAAAGGAAAAGGAAAAGUUAGUGUGAGCAAGUUGAGGAAUAUAUUGCAAGGAUCAGAGUAUGUGCUUACCUUUAGGGACAAGGGUGGUGAUUUGAUGUUUGUGGGAGUAAGUAUGAAGCAAAUUAACUUGUUUAGUUUGUCCACUUUCGUUAUGUUAUUUCCAGUAUAGUGUUGUAGCAUUUUGAAAGGAACUAAACUCAAGUAAUAAGAACAAUUAAUAAAUUUCAGAGGUUUGAUUUGUUAUUCU